GAGCACAAUUGGAGCAUCCUAAAGGCACCAGGUCCCAUCUGAUCUUGGAAGCUAAGCAGACCAACCCUGUUUGGUACUUGGAUGGGAGAUCACUGACAAUUACCAGGUGCUGUUAGCU
rnacentral:rRNA from 1 species